UGGGGAAUAUUGGACAAUGGGCGAAAGCCUGAUCCAGCCAUGCCGCGUGUGUGAAGAAGGUCUUCGGAUUGUAAAGCACUUUAAGUUGGGAGGAAGGGCUGUCGGCUAAUACCCUGCAGUUUUGACGUUACCAACAGAAUAAGCACCGGCUAACUUCGUGCCAGCAGCCGCGGUAAUACGAUGGGUGCAAGCGUUAAUCGGAAUUACUGGGCGUAAAGCGCGCGUAGGUGGUUCAGCAAGUUGGAUGUGAAAGCCCCGGGCUCAACCUGGGAACUGCAUCCAAAACUACUGAGCUAGAGUACGGUAGAGGGUGGUGGAAUUUCCUGUGUAGCGGUGAAAUGCGUAGAUAUAGGAAGGAACACCAGUGGCGAAGGCGACCACCUGGACUGAUACUGACACUGAGGUGCGAAAGCGUGGGGAGCAAACAG
rnacentral:rRNA from 1 species